CACCGCUUGUUUACAUCAGUCAUCUUUUAAUUACAUGGCUCAUAAGCUUGUAUCUCUGUGUGAAUUCAUUUUUUUAUUUGUACUGUGACACAAGCAACAAUAAAAUAUAUUAGAAGUGCAGAUAGGUCUUAAAGCAAGGGUACUUAAACAGUUGAACAGUAGUCUUCUCUGAAAAAACUGAAAUGUCGACUUUAAUUAAAUGUAUUAUGUCAACUACUUUCACAUAACUGUUUUAGGUUAGUUGAGAGCAAUACUAUUAAGCUGAACCUCUUAUUAUUGCUUUCAACUAACUCAUACAGUUAUGUUGACAAUAUACUUAAUUAAAGUCAACGUUUCAGUUUGUUUAGCAUGUAAAUUGAUUCGAGUUAAGUAUUUCCCUCUGAAUUGCUGUAAUGAAGAAACAAAGUAAAAUGGGAAGAAAAUAAUACAAUAUAAGCGUCUCAAACGUGUUCUUAAGUCCAGUAUUUUAGUACAUGCACUUGCUGUCUACCAGUGUACUUAUGGAGGAAGAGGCUGCUUUUAAAUGUGAAAUGGUGUUAUGCGUUUUAUUCCCACUGGAUGGCGUGCAUUAUCAGCUUCAUGUAGUGAGUGGCCUCCAACUAAGUGAUGUACAGUCACCAAGUUGUCAGAAUACGCAGGCAGACCCUGAUGACUCGGCAAUGUCUGGAGUAAAACCUCCAGAGAGCUGACAACACGAGCCCAGUGGAAGUAGCCAUCAGGUCCAAACACAGAACGUUAUUAAGAAAGACGUGUUUACGAAUCAAAAAUAUCCACCACAACUUUUUGUGAAGUCUAUCACAAUGCAGUUAAUAUUACUGGCAGCGACGUUUCUCUUUACGCACGACUUUACCGGAGCUGUGCGUCCAGAAAAGUGCGCGUCCCGCUGCGACGUGAGCUCUUGUCCGAGCCCCAGCUGUCCGGUCGGCGGGUACGUCCCGGAUAGAUGUAACUGCUGCAUGGUGUGCUCCCCCCGCGAAGGAGACCCCUGCGGCCGCAAGAACCACCUGCCCUGCGGGGAUGGCCUGGAGUGCAAGCUGCUCGCUGCGGGUAGGCGGCGAGGCUCCAAGGGUGUCUGCCGGUGUAAGAUGGAGCAUGAAGUGUGCGGAAGCGACAGGAAAACGUACGGGAAUGUGUGUAAGAUGAGAGUGACCAGCCGUAAAGCGGAGCAGAAAGGCAGACCCGCAGUUAGCCAGGCGCAUAAAGGACCAUGCGUACCCUCAACCACAGGUCGCAUCCCGGGCCAUCCCAGCAGCCCUCGCUACAAGUUCAACUUCAUCGCUGACGUGGUGGAGAAAAUAGCUCCAGCUGUUGUCCACAUUGAAAUGUUCAUAAGACACCCCCUGUUUAAUCGCCACGUGCGUCUCUCCAGCGGCUCUGGUUUCAUUGUGACCCCCUCAGGUGUGAUUGUGACCAACGCUCAUGUGGUGACCACGGAUGCCACGGUUACAGGGCAGCCCCAGCUGCGCGUGCAGCUCCUAGACGGUGACGCAUAUGAGGCUGCGGUCAGACAUGUAGACAGGAAGGCAGACAUCGCCACCAUCAAGGUCAAUCCCCAGAAGAAGCUCCCCGUGCUGUCUCUGGGCCGUUCAGCUGAUCUGAGGCCCGGGGAAUUUGUGGUUGCUAUUGGCAGCCCCUUCGCCCUGCAGAACACCGUCACCACCGGCAUCGUCAGCACCGCGCAGAGAGACGGAAAGGAGCUGGGCAUCAAGGACUCAGACAUGGACUACAUCCAGACUGACGCCAUUAUUAAUUAUGGAAACUCUGGAGGACCUCUUGUUAACUUGGACGGUGAGGUGAUAGGCAUCAACACUCUGAAAGUGACAGCAGGGAUCUCCUUUGCGAUACCCUCAGACCGAAUCAGUCGCUUCCUCACAGAGUCACAGACCAAACACAUCAAAAGUCAGAGGUCAAAGCCUGAGCAAUACAAAGAAAAGACAAAACUCAAAAUAAGACUUCCAGAGGCAACACAGGCUGAUGCAGUCUGGUAGCAGAGUUGAAACGUCAGAAUCCAGACUUUCUGAGAGCAGCAGUGAAGUUUUGGUGCAACAGGUCAUACCUGACACUCAAGCAGAAAAUUUCCAUGCUUUGGCUGACGUCGGGGUCCUGCUCCACAGCGAAGAAUGGAUGCUCAAGGACUUUGAGGGGAAUAAUCCGCCCAUACUUGUCUGGCACCAGCAUCUUUUUCAAGAGGUCCACAAAGUUCAACAACUCCUCUCUCUUGGCCAAGGUUCUAUAAGGUAUCACCUGGAAGAAAUUGAAGGUAAAACCUGUCUGAGUUAUCAUGUUGAAUAACGCAAAGCAGUAAAAAAAAUAAAAAUACAUCAGAUAAAUCUUUGUAAUAACAUUAUAUUAUCUAAAUAAAGACCACCUACCUCCACCAGGUCAUCAAGAGAGGUCAGAUAGAAAAAUGGGUUUCCUCUAAAGUGAUGCCCAGUUUGUGCUGUAAUCUCCCAUGGAGUCUAUAGAGAGACAAUGUUUUGGUUACAUCGUUUAUUCUGAGCGACAGACAGACAGACAGACAGACAGACAGACAGACAGACAGACAGACAGACAGACAGACAGACAGACAGACAGACAGACAGACAGACAGACAGACAGACAGACAGACAGACAGACAGACAGACAGACAGACAGACAGACAGACAGACAGACAGACAGACAGACAGACAGACAGACAGCUACCUUAAGUCUCCAGGUUUGCUGGUUGUGACUUUCCUCAAUGUUAAAGUAGAAGCUGCUCUUUUGUCCACAGUUAAGUAGAAAAUCCGGAGGCUGACCCACCAAGUCCACAAUUAGUUUGAGCGCAUCAUAUUCGUGGUCUGCAGGGAACAGACCAAAGCCUGCGGCAAUUUCUGCAACCACUGCACCGAGAGACCACAUGUCAAUCUGUUCACUGAAGUCCAUGCCCAGGAUGACCUCUGGCGCCCUGAGAGAAGAGAAACACUUCUUGUUAAGCUCACUUUUGUUUAUUUUCCAGUACAGAAACAGACUUCCAUCAAAGCCGCAGCCUCUGUGCCACAUGUUUUUUUGUAGCUACCUGUACCAAAGACUCUGAACAGUGGUCCCUGGAAUGGCUUCGGACACGUGGCGAGCCAGGCCAAAGUCAAUGAGUUUGACCUGAAGUGGAUGCUUGAAACGGUUCACCACCAUUAUAUUCUCAGGCUUUAAAUCAGCAUGGAUUAUUUCCAGGGCCUUAAGGUGGAGCAGUGCUGUUGUCAGCUGAAGAAGCACAAAGAAUUUGAUGCUUCAGUAUCACAACAAUGUGCAUUUUUAGGUAUGAUUUUCCAUUGAAUGUCAAAUGAUACUUCUGAAAAAUGUAUGAUUCCACAUACUUGACGUAAAACUGGACGGAUCUCAGCUAUGGACAGAGCGUUGUGUUGUCUCUGCAGCGUGUACUCAUAGAGACUCAGGUCCAAGAUCUCAAACUCCAAACAAAUGUACUUUUCAUGGUAGAACGAGCCAUACCAUUUCACCAGACCGCAUUCAUCUGCAUCGAGAGCCUGUAGCUUUUGGAGAAUUUUAAUCUGUGGAAGACAUAAAAAAUGUGAUUAUUACUAUUUGCUGUCACCUUCAGUACAACAUUGUAAGUGUCCCAUCAUGCAGCUUCAGUUUUUAUUAUUAGAGUUUGUAAUCUACCUCUUCCAGUGCUCGCUGAAAGAAAAUGGGUCUAUCCUUGUUUAUUUUGACGGCCUUCAUUGUGUUGGUUACAUGGUCUAUACACAUGGCCACCUUCCCAUAGCAGCCCUCCCCGAGAAAGGCCAGGACCUCGUAGCUGGAUGCCAGCAGGGUCCCCUCGUGGAUCGAGAAAUCGUCUGUGGAGGUUUGGGAGAGAGGAGGAGAUGGAAACAAAAUGAAGUUACAUUUCACAGUACACAAAACAAAUCACAACAGAUUGAUCACAUGUAACUAUCUUCGUAGCUGAGUAUGAAUUAGCAAAACACAAAACAUUUUUUUAUGAGAAAUGUUCAGACUUUCAUUUGUUUCUGUGAACAAGAAACAUGUAUUUGAUCACUGAGUACUAAGCCUGGUCCCUAUUUUGUAACCAGAAACUAAAAAAACUCUAUUUAGCAAGCAUCAGCUUAAGUCUGUGUUUUUCAGUACUUUACUGACUUUUGUUUACUACUCUCUGCUUACCUAUGACUGACAUGUCAGUCAUUGUCUGUAAUAGUUUUGAAGCAAAUCUAGCUUGUGUUGAAAAAGGCGUUGAGGCGAUGUGUCUCUGUGUUUCUCAGAACUUCCAGUGUUGCAUUCUAAAGUUCCUUCCAUUCUGAUGGAACUUUAGAAUGGAAUCCAUAUGCAAGUUAGGGAACAUGUAUGUGUAUCUUAUUAAAAAAUCAUGAAAGUCA